ensembl:lncRNA
UUGCUGUGGUUGCUCUCCUCAGUUUCUCUACUUUGCAGGGCAAACAUGCAAUGCUGCACUUUCUUCUUGAGCUUACGUUUCUUUCCCCGUAGCAUUUAGCCCUCUAAAUGUGGCGGUUGUUCAUCUAGUGAAGGCAACUAAAGAAAUGAGAAAGAGCCAUAUCCUGCAACUGCAAAAUGCCAAGUCAGCAGGUCCCAGGCAUGCUGACUUUUCCUCUGCAGGCAGCAGUCAGGCAGUGUGGGCAUGCCCUCCUCUAUCCCCCAUGCUCCUUGGGCAGCAGCUAGAGGGUAUUAGCCAGCCAAGGUUCAACCAGGCACAUCUGCAUUUCAGUCUCUUUCCAUUGCACAGUUAUGGAGGUUGGACUUACCUUCAUUUUCUUUCUCUCCUUUUCCGGCCUGUUUAUGUUACUUGAUGUGGUCACCUGAGUUGAGGAGCAGUGUGGAGCUACUGCAUCCAACAAAGCAUCAAGAGAUGCUGUCACAACCCUACACACAGGGAAGUGCUGGGAAAACCCCAUGAGCGGAGGAGCAGGUAUAUUCUUCCAGGGCCAGAAGGGAAGCGCACGUUUCAUCUGAGCUGGCACAGAGCUGGAGAAAGCUGCUUCACUGCUGCAACACUGGGCUGCCCACUGUUUGGUCCUGCUACCUCCCAUUGCACCCGUUGCUUAGUGAGACAACUGCAUGAUGAGCUGCUACCAGCACUUUCAAAGCACUUCCUCGUGGAUUUAAUCAGUCCCUAAGAUGUCAACAAGAUAUUCGUAACUACCGUGAGAAGGAAAGCAGCACGCCGGAGAGGGUAAAGGAAUGAUCUGCGAAGGAGCAAUCACACGCAGCCUGGGAAAGAUUUGUUCAUCUUUCAGAAGCGACUUGUGAGCAACAGCAUGGUGGCAGAGCAAGCCACAAAACCUGCACCGCCUGACUGAAGGCACUCAGAGGGGACCCGAGGAGCCAGCAGUACAGCCAUCUGACUGCUCGUGUACCACUUGCUUGCUCUCGGCUGCCUGUUUGUAGGAGCUCGGAGUGAGAGUGUUUGAAGGGGCAGAGAAGAGAGGAUCUGACCACAGAAGACGUUAUUACUUGAAACGAGCAACCAGUUACGUGGUGCCGUCUCACUGAUUCAUGUGCACAAACGAGCUCUGCCCCGGGAUCAGAAAUGCCCCGUUCCAUUCGGUCUCAGCUCUUUUCAGGCGCUGUUCUUAUAAAGGUGUAUCAUUAUUAAAUCAGAGCCCUGCAGAUGCUGGCAAUGCACAGCAGCUUUCUGUUGUUGCUGUUAAACUUUUUGCAGUAAAUG